GCUGCAUUUUAGGGACUGUAAUCACAUGUCAAGGCCUACCAAGUUUGAGAGCUUAUUUUGGGCCGAAUAUGUUUACCGAAUGUACCACUUGGAGCAAUAGGACAAGAAUACAGUUACAGAUAAUUUUAUUUUACCAUUGAAUCAUGUAAUUUGGUAUUGACAAUUGAUUGUAUACAAAAAACUGUGGUAUUAAAAUGUUGGUCUGCAUGCCCCUUUGGUAAGCACAAUGAGUGCCAUCACUGCCGUGUGCAUCUUUAAACAUCCUUGUUAGCAGCAAGUGGGUUCAGCAAAGAAAAUGAUGGAAAAUUUAGCUAUACAAAUUGAGAACUGGAUUGGGAUGUCCUGUUAACACUCAGGAACAUCUUUUAAACCAACCAUCAAACUGCGGGAAAACCAAAUGGUGAUGCAAGACAUAACAGCAUUUGGACGGAAUGGUAGAAAAAUCAAAAUUUAAAAGGAUUCUUAUUAUAAACAAGUAAAUCUUGAAAAAGAAAUGACUUCACAUGACAAUUGAUGAUGAGGGAUGCCCAGCACAAUUUUAAUUGUCUAAAAUAUCGAGUAUAGUGUAUAUCUUAACAGUUGGUAGUUCAUAUUUGAUAACUUAUACUUUAUAGACGUUUUCCCGAAAUGUGGUAUUUUUCAUCUUUGAAAAAAGAUAAUUCUUUACCAAUUUGACCAAACUGGCUAAAAUUUUCAGUGUUAAUAGAGCUCAUCAUGAUAAGUGUUUUCAACGAUAGAAUUUGGCAUAUGUUGUAAUGCUGCCAUUUUAUCGAGGAAAUAUGCCAGGAUUUUUGGAAGAAAAUCGAACUACAAUUUUGCAGCAAUGUUGUGCAAAAACUACAUGCAGCAUAAAAAAUUCCAUCGCUGAAAACAAUCUACUUGCUUUGUAGUCAACAAAUAGCUCUUAGUGGUAAAAUUUCAUUAAAAUGGUAAGGCUGUAUUUUUCCCAACUAACAGUGAUUUGUAUGAGACAUACACUGUGUUUAAUUACUAGAUGGCAGGAUAAAUAUUAAAGGUAUCAGAAAAACC